rnacentral:tRNA from 1 species
GGCCUGUUGGUCUAGAGGCAUGAUUCUCGCUUUGGGUGCGAGAGGUCCCGGGUUCGAUUCCCGGACAGGCCC